rnacentral:rRNA from 1 species
AGUGAACGCUGGCGGUAGGCCUAACACAUGCAAGUCGAACGGCAGCACAGUAAGAGCUUGCUCUUACGGGUGGCGAGUGGCGGACGGGUGCGGAAUACAUCGGAAUCUACUUUUUCGUGGGGGAUAACGUAGGGAAACUUACGCUACUACCGCAUACGACCUACGGGUGAAAGCAGGUGAUCUUCGGACCUUGCGCGAUUGAAUGAGCCGAUGUCGGAUUAGCUAGUUGGCGGGGUAAAGGCCCACCAAGGCGACGAUCCGUAGCUAGUCUGAGAGGAUGAUCAGCCACACUGGAACUGAGACACGGUCCAGACUCCUACGGGAGGCAGCAGUGGGGAAUAUUGGACAAUGGGCGCAAGCCUGAUCCAGCCAUACCGCGUGGGUGAAGAAGGCCUUCGGGUUGUAAAGCCCUUUUGUUGGGAAAGAAAAGCAGCAGGUUAAUACCCCGCUGUUAUGACGGUACCCAAAGAAUAAGCACCGGCUAACUUCGUG